rnacentral:rRNA from 1 species
CCUACGGGAGGCAGCAGUGGGGAAUAUUGGACAAUGGGGGAAACCCUGAUCCAGCGACGCCGCGUGAGUGAAGAAGUAUUUCGGUACGUAAAGCUCUAUCAGCAGGAAAGAAAAUGACGGUACCUGACUAAGAAGCCCCGGCUAACUACGUGCCAGCAGCCGCGGUAAUACGUCGGGGGCAAGCGUUAUCCGGAUUUACUGGGGGGAAAGGGAGCGUAGACGGCAGCGCAAGUCUGGAGUGAAAUGCCGGGGCCCAACCCCGGGACUGCUCUGGAAACUGUGAAGCUGGAGUGCAGGAGAGGGAAGCGGAAUUCCUGGUGUAGCGGUGAAAUGCGUAGAUAUCAGGAGGAACACCGGCGGCGAAGGCGGCUUACUGGACUGUAACUGACGUUGAGGCUCGAAGGCGUGGGGAGCAAACAGGAUUAGAUACCCUGGUAGUC